AGACUGAUCUGUCACAUAUUUUAACUAGAAAAUAUUGCUUCUUCUUUCUGCAGUACAAUCCUCACAGAUCCCAGACUGCAGUGAAGGUGGAGUUUGUCGUUCCUCCCAGUCGAAUGCUGAUCGUCGGCACUGGUGUAGUGGGUGGGUUCAUCUUCCUCGUUAUCAUAGUGUUCCUUCUGCUGAAGAGUGGGUUUUUUACACUAAAGUACCCUGAAGUGAAUGAAAAUAGGAUGGUGGUUCUCAUCAACUUCAGCACUAAAGAAAACUGAAGUCUGAGUCAGUGUUUUGAACCAGGCCUCAGAGCUGAAGAUUAUCUUUUUAUGUUAAUGAUGUUUUAAUGGUCCAGAUUUAUGACAAAGUUUUCUUCAGUUUCAGUGUGUUCAGUAUGUUUAGUUCAAUGAUGUUCAGCGUGUGUUGUAAUGGCUUUUCCACUUCUUUCCAGUGACUUUGUAGUUUAUUUAUAAUAUCUUACGUUACA